rnacentral:rRNA from 1 species
GAUGAACGCUGGCGGCGUGCCUAAUACAUGCAAGUCGAGCGAACAGACGAGAGUGCUUGCACUCUCUGACGUUAGCGGCGGACGGGUGAGUAACACGUGGGUAACCUACCUAUAAGACUGGGAUAACUUCGGGAAACCGGAGCUAAUACCGGAUAAUAUUUAGCUUCGCAUGAAGCAAUAGUGAAAGACGGUUCUGCUGUCACUUAUAGAUGGACCCGCGGUGUAUUAGCUGGUUGGUGAGGUAACGGCUCACCAAGGCAGCGAUACAUAGCCGACCUGAGAGGGUGAUCGGCCACACUGGGACUGAGACACGGCCCAGACUCCUACGGGAGGCAGCAGUAGGGAAUCUUCCGCAAUGGACGAAAGUCUGACGGAGCAAUGCCGCGUGAGUGAAGAAGGUUUUCGGAUCGUAAAACUCUGUUGUAAGGGAAGAACAAGUACGUUAGUAACUGAACGUACCUUGACGGUACCUUACCAGAAAGCCACGGCUAACUACGUG